rnacentral:rRNA from 1 species
UACGGAAGGCAGCAGUGGGGAAUAUUGCACAAUGGGCGCAAGCCUGAUGCAGCCAUGCCGCGUGUAUGAAGAAGGCCUUCGGGUUGUAAAGUACUUUCAGUCGUGAGGAAGGUGUUAAGGUUAAUAACCUUAGCAAUUGACGUUAGCGACAGAAGAAGCACCGGCUAACUCCGUGCCAGCAGCCGCGGUAAUACGGAGGGUACGAGCGUUAAUCGGAAUUACUGGGCGUAAAGGGCACGCAGGCGGUUAAUUAAGUUGGAUGUGAAAUCCCCGGGCUUAACCUGGGAAUGGCAUUCAAGACUGGUUAGCUAGAGUCUUGUAGAGGGGGUAGAAUUCCAUGUGUAGCGGUGAAAUGCGUAGAGAUGUGGAGGAAUACCGGUGGCGAAGGCGGCCCCUGGACAAAGACUGACGCUCAUGUGCGAAAGCGUGGGGAGCAAACAGGGAUUAGAUACC